rnacentral:rRNA from 1 species
AGGAUGAACGCUGGCGGUCUGCUUAACACAUGCAAGUCGAACGGAGUACCUCGGUACUUAGUGGCGGACGGGUGAGUAACGCGUGAGAAUCUGCCCUUAGGUCGGGGACAACCAUUGGAAACGAUGGCUAAUACCGGAUAAGCCGAGAGGUAAAAGAUUAAUUGCCUAGGGAAGAGCUCGCGUCUGAUUAGCUAGUUGGUGAGGUAAAGGCUCACCAAGGCAUCGAUCAGUAGCUGGUCUGAGAGGAUGAUCAGCCACACUGGGACUGAGACACGGCCCAGACUCCUACGGGAGGCAGCAGUGGGGAAUUUUCCGCAAUGGGCGAAAGCCUGACGGAGCAAGACCGCGUGAGGGAGGAAGGCUCUUGGGUUGUAAACCUCUUUUCUUGGGGAAGAACAAAAUGACGGUACCCAAGGAAUCAGCAUCGGCUAACUCCGUGCCAGCAGCCGC